GAGUUUGAUCCUGGCUCAGGAUGAACGCUGGCGGCGUGCUUAACACAUGCAAGUCGAACGGGGAUGGCCCGCCGAGGAAGCUUCGGCCGAAUCAUGGGACAUCUUAGUGGCGGACGGGUGAGUAACGCGUGGGCAACCUGCCCUGUACAGGGGGAUAACACUUAGAAAUAGGUGCUAAAACCGCAUAAGCGCACAGCUUCGCAUGAAGAAGUGUGAAAAACUCCGGUGGUACAGGAUGGACCCGCGUCUGAUUAGCUAGUUGGAGGGGUAACGGCCCACCAAGGCGACGAUCAGUAGCCGGCCUGAGAGGGUGAACGGCCACAUUGGGACUGAGACACGGCCCAAACUCCUACGGGAGGCAGCAGUGGGGAAUAUUGCACAAUGGGGGAAACUCUGACGCAGUGACGCCGCGUAUAGGAAGAAGUUUUUCGGAAUGUAAACUAUUGUCGUUAGGGAAGAGAAAGGACGGUACCUAAGGAGGAAGCCCCGGCUAACUACGUGCCAGCAGCCGCGGUAAUACGUAGGGGGCAAGCGUUAUCCGGAUUUACUGGGUGUAAAGGGAGCGCAGACGGCACAGCAAGUCUGGAGUGAAAGCCCGCGGCUCAACCGCGGGACUGCUCUGGAAACUGUUGAGCUUGAGUGCA
rnacentral:rRNA from 1 species